rnacentral:rRNA from 1 species
AACGAACGCUGGCGGCAUGCCUAACACAUGCAAGUCGAACGAGACCUUCGGGUCUAGGGGCGCACGGGUGCGUAACGCGUGGGAACCUGCCCUUAGGGUCGGAAUAACUCCCCGAAAGGGGUGCUAAUACCGGAUAAUGGCUUCGGACCAAAGAUUUAUCGCCUUUGGAUGGGCCCGCGUUGGAUUAGGUAGUUGGUACGGUAAAAGCCUACCAAGGCGACGAUCCAUAGCUGGUCUGAGAGGAUGAUCAGCGACACUGGGACUGAGACACGGCCCAGACUCCUACGGGAGGCAGCAGUGGGGAAUAUUGGACAGUGGGCGAAAGCCUGAUCCAGCAAUGCCGCGUGAGUGAUGAAGGUCUUAGGGUUGUAAAGCUCUUUUAACCGGGAUGAUAAUGACAGUACCGGGAGAAUAAGCUCCGGCUAACUCCGUG